UCGGGCCCCGGCUGUCAGCGGGCGGGUGGAUGGGUGGGACGCGUGGGGCGGCGAUCUGGGUGGGCAGCGGGAGGGGAUUAAAUAUCGCGGGAGGAGACCAUCCCAACCCCUUUUGCUCCUCUCGCCGCUUUGGGUCGGGGUUUUAGCGAGCUCGAGGGAGGGAGGCCGGCCGGAGGCGACGACCGCCGUCGGGGAAGAAGAAGAAGGCCGACGCCGACGCCGACGCCGACGCCGACGCCACUCGUAUAUGUCUUCUUGCCCCUUCGCCGAUCUGGUGGUCGUCGCAGCCUUUCUCCUCGCCGCCGUCGCCGUCGUCCUCCUCGACGCACUCGCCUGCGCCCCCCGAUCUAUGCACCAGGGGCUCCACGGCUGGAACAAGUCCUCGUCGAUGCUCAGGUCCGUACGCCUCUCCCUCCCCCCGCCGUCAAUUUCUCGUCUUUUUUGCCGUCCGGCGGGUGCCGUGAGCCCAGAUCUGGGAGGUUCUUGGCNNNNNNNNNNNNNNNNNNNNNNNNNNNNNNNNNNNNNNNNNNNNNNNNNNNNNNNNNNNNNNNNNNNNNNNNNNNNNNNNNNNNNNNNNNNNNNNNNNNNGUGGCAUCAUGAGCUAGGUUCAUGCGUAGAUGUCUUCUCGAGUAGAACACAAAAGUUUUUGUGGGCGGUGAUGUGCGUUUUGCUGCCCUCCUUAGUCUUUUCUUGAUUCCGCGGUAUUGUUGGAUUGAAGCGGCUUGGACCGACAUUACUCGUACGCUUACGAGAGACUGGUUUCAUCGUUACGAGUAACUCCGUUGCUCAAAGAUGACUGGCAAGUGUCGGUUUCUCCAACUUUAGUUGAAUCGGAUUUGACCGAGGAGGUCCUUGGAUGAGGUUAAAUAGCAACUCAUAUAACUCCGUUGUGGUGUUUGCGUAAGUAAGAUGCGAUCCUACUAGAUACCCAUGGUCACCACGUAAAACUUGCAACAACAAAAUUAGAGGACGUCUAACUUGUUUUUGCAGGGUAUGCUUGUGAUGUGAUAUGGCCAAUGAUGUGAUGUGAUAUAUUGGAUGUAUGAGAUGAUCAUGUUGUAAUAGAAAUAUCGACUUGCACGUCGAUGGUACGGCAACCGGCAGGAGCCAUAGGGUUGUCUUUAUACUAACGUAUGUGCUUGCAGAUGCGUUUACUAUUUUGCUAGGAUGUAGCUUUAGUAGUAAUAGCAUGAGUAGCACGACAACCCCGAUGACAACAUUUUGAUGGAGAUCAUGGUGUGAUGCCGGUGACAAGAAGAUCGUGCCGGUGCUUUGGUGAUGGAGAUCAAGAAGCACGUGAUGAUGGCCAUAUCAUGUCACUUAUGAAUUGCAUGUGAUGUUAAUCCUUUUAUGCACCUUAUUUUGCUUAGAACGACGGUAGAAUUUUGAGGUGAUCUCUCACUAAAAUUUCAAGACGAAAUUGUGUUCUCCCCGACUGUGCACCGUUGCUACAGUUUGUCGUUUCGAGACACCACGUGAUGAUCGGGUGUGAUAGACUCAACGUUCACAUACAACGGGUGCAAAACAGUUGCGCACGCGGAACACUCGGGUUAAGCUUGACGAGCCUAGCAUGUGCAGACCUGGCCUCGGAACACAUGAGACCGAAAGGUCGAUCAUGAAUCAUAUAGAUGAUAUGAUUAGCAUAGGGAUGCUUACCACUGAAACUAUACUCAACUCACGUGAUGAUCGGACUUGAGCUAGUGUAAGUGGAUCAUGAACCACUCAAAUGACUAGAGAGAUGUACUUUUUGAGUGGGAGUUUAGCGAAUAAUUUGAUUAAGUUAAACUCUAAUUAUCUUGAACAUAGUCUAAGUCCACUUUGAAUAUAUUUGUGUUGUAGAUCAUGGCUCACGCGACAGUCAUCCUGAAUUUUAAUACGUUCCUAGAGAAAGCUAAGUUGAAAGAUGAUGGAAGCAACUUUGUAGACUGGGCUCGUAAUCUUAAGCUAAUCUUACAAGCUGGGAAGAAGGAUUAUGUCCUUAAUGCUGCGUUAGGAGAUGAACCACCCGCUACGGCUGAUCAGGAUGUUAAGAACGCUUGGUUAGCACGUAAGGAGGACUACUCAAUAGUUUAAUGUGCAGUCUUGUAUGGCUUAGAACCGGGACUUCAACGUUGUUUUGAGCGUCAUGGAGCAUUUGAGAUGUUCCAGGAGUUGGAGUUUAUCUUUCAAAAGAACGCCCGGAUCGAGAGGUAUGAGACCUCCGAUAAAUUCUAUGCUUGCAAGAUGGAGGAAAACUCAUGUGUCAGUGAACAUGUGCUCAAAAUGUCUGGGUACUCAAACCGUCUAGCUGAGCUGGGGAUUGAACUCCCGCAAGAAGCUAUCACUGACAGAAUCCUUCAAUCACUGCCGCCAAGCUAUAAAGGCGUUGUGUUGAACUACAACAUGCAAGGGAUGAACAAGUCUCCCGACGAGUUGUUUGCGAUGCUGAAAGUCGUAGAGUCUGAACUCCGUAAAGAGCAUCAAGUGUUGAUGGUGAAUAAGACCACUAGUUUCAAGAGAAACGGCAAAGGCAAGAAGGGCAAUUCGAAGAAGAGCAGCAAGCCUGUUGCCAAUCCGACGAAGAAACCCAAAGAUGGACCUAAGCCGGAAACGGAGUGUUACUAUUGCAAGGGUAUGGGUCACUGGAAGCGCAAUUGCCCCAAGUAUCUGGCAGAUAAGAAGGCGGGCAAAGAAAAAUCAGGUAUAUUUGAUAUACAUGUUAUUGAUGUGUACUUAACCGGCUCUCGUAGUAGUGCCUGGGUAUUCGAUACCGGUUCUGUUGCUCAUAUUUGCAACUCGAAACAGGAACUGCGGAAUAGGCGAAGGCUGGCGAAAGAUGAAGUGACAAUGCGCGUAGGAAAUGGUUCCAAGGUUGAUGCAAUCGCCGUCGGCACAAUGUCACUUCAGUUACCGUCAGGAUUAGUGAUGAACUUAAAUCAUUGUUAUUUAGUGCCUGCGUUGAGCAUGAACAUUAUAUCUGGAUCUUGUUUAUUGCGAGGCGGUUACUCUUUUAAGUCAGAGAAUAAUGGUUGUUCUAUUUCUAUGAGUAACAUCUUUUAUGGUCAUGCGCCGAAUGUGAGAGGAUUGUUCAUAUUGAAUCUUGAUAACGAUACACAUAUACAUAACAUUGAGACCAAAAGAGUUAGAGUUAACAAUGAUAGCGCCAUAUUUUUGUGGCACUGCCGCUUAGGUCAUAUUGGUGUAAAGCGCAUGAAGAAACUCCAUGCUGAUGGACUUUUGGAGUCACUUGUCUUUGAUUCACUUGACACGUGCGAACCAUGCCUCAUGGGCAAGAUGACUAAGACUCUGUUCUCAGGAACAAUGGAGCGUGCAAGUGACUUGUUGGAAAUCAUACAUACCGAUGUGUGUGGUCCGAUGAGCGUGGAGGCACGCGGCGGAUAUCGUUAUUUUCUCACCUUCACUGAUGAUUUAAGUAGAUAUGGUUAUGUCUACUUGAUGAAACACAAGUCUGAAACAUUUGAAAAGUUCAAGCAAUUUCAGAGUGAAGUGGAAAAUCAUCGUAACAAGAAGAUCAAGUUCCUACGGUCUGAUCUUGGGGGUGAAUAUCUGAGUUUCGAGUUUGGUGCUCACUUAAAACAAUGUGGAAUUGUUUCACAGUUAACACCGCCUGGAACACCACAGCGUAAUGGUGUGUCCGAACGUCGUAAUCGUACUCUAUUAGAGAUGGUGCGAUCUAUGAUGUCUCUUACUGAUUUGCCGUUAUCAUUUUGGGGUUAUGCAUUAGAAACAGCUGCAUUCACUUUAAAUAGGGCACCAUCAAAAUCCGUUGAGACGACACCAUACGAACUGUGGUAUGGCAAAAGGCCAAAGUUGCCGUUUCUUAAAGUUUGGGGAUGUGAUGCUUAUGUCAAAAAGCUUCAGCCUGAAAAGCUGGAACCCAAAGCGGAAAAGUGCGUCUUCAUAGGUUACCCAAAAGAGACAAUUGGGUACACCUUCUAUCUCAAAUCCGAGGGCAAAGUGUUUGUUGCUAAAAAAUGAAGUUUUUCUCGAGAAGGAGUUUCUCUCGAGAGAAUUGAGUGGGAGGAAGAUAGAACUUGACGAGGUUGUCGAACCUCUCAUCCCUCUGGAUGGUGGCGCAGGGCAAGGGGAAACCUCUGUCAUUGCGACGCCGGUUGAGGAGGAAGUUAAUGAUGAUGAUCAUGAAACUCCAGUUCAAGUUUCUGUCGAACCACGCAGGUCGACGAGACCACGUGCUGCCCCAGAGUGGUACGGUAAUCCUGUCUUAUCAAUCAUGUUGUUAGACAACAAUGAACCUGCGAAUUAUGAAGAAGCAAUGGUGGGCCCAGAUUCCAACAAAUGGCUGGAAGCCAUGAAAUCCGAGAUAGGAUCCAUGCAUGAGAACAAAGUGUGGACUUUGGAAGUACUACCUGAGGGCCGCAAGGCCAUUCAGAACAAAUGGAUCUUUAAGAGGAAGAUGGACGCUGAUGGUAAUGUGACCGUUUAUAAAGCUCGACUUGUGGCAAAAAGGGUUUUCACAAGUUCAAGGAGUUGACUACGAUGAGACUUUCUCACCCGUAGCGAUGCUUAAGUCCGUCAAAAUCAUGUUAGCAAUAGCUGCAUUUUUCGAUUAUGAAAUCUGGCAGAUGGAUGUCAAAACGGCGUUCCUUAAUGGUUUCCUUAAGGAAGAAUUGUAUAUGAUACAACCCGAAGGUUUUGUCGAUCCUAAGAAUGCUAACAAGGUGUGCAAGCUCCAGCGAUCCAUUUAUGGACUGGUGCAAGCAUCUCGGAGUUGGAACAAACGCUUUGAUGAGGUGAUCAAAGCAUUUGGGUUUAUACAAGUGGUUGGAGAAUCUUGUAUUCACAAGAAAGUGAGUGGGAGCUCUGUGGCGUUUCUAAUAUUAUAUGUGGAUGACAUAUUGCUGAUUGAAAACAACGUGGAGUUUUUAGAGAGCGUAAAGGAUUACUUGAAUAAAAGUUUCUCUAUGAAGGACCUAGGAAAAGCUGCUUACAUUCUAGGCAUUAAGAUCUAUAGGGAUAGAUCAAAACGCCUGAUAGGACUUUCACAAAGCACAUACCUUGAUAAAGUUUUGAAGAGGUUCAAAAUGGAACAGUCCAAGAAAGGGUUCUUGCCAGUUCUACAAGGUACGAGAUUGAGUAAGACUCAGUGCCCAGCAACUGAUGAAGAUAGAGAGCAUAUGCGCUCCGUCCCCUAUGCUUCAGCCAUAGGUUCUAUCAUGUAUGCGAUGCUGUGCACUAGACCGGAUGUUAGCCUGGCCACAAGUAUGGCAGGUAGGUUCCAGAGUAAUCGAGGAGUGGAUCACUGGACAGCGGUCAAGAAUAUCCUGAAGUACCUGAAAAGGACUAAGGAGAUGUUUCUCGUGUAUGGAGGUGACGAAGAGCUCGCCGUAAAAGGUUACGUCGAUGCAAGCUUUGACACAGAUCCGGACGACUCUAAGUCGCAAACCAGAUACGUAUUUAUUCUUAAUGGGGGUGCAGUAAGCUGGUGCAGUUCCAAGCAAAGCGUCGUAGCAGAUUUUACAUGUGAAGCGGAGUACAUGGCUGCCUCGGAGGCAGCUAAGGAGGGUGUCUGGAUGAAGCAGUUCAUGACGGAUCAUGGAGUGGUGCCAAGCGCACUGAAUCCAAUAACCUUGUUCUGUGACAACACUCGUGCCAUUGCCUUAGCAAAGGAACCACGGUUUCACAAGAAGACCAGACACAUCAAACAACGCUUCAACCUCAUCCGUGACCACGUCGAGGGAGAGGACGUGAAUAUAUGCAAAGUGCACACGGAUCUGAAUGUAGCAGACCCACUGACUAAACCUCUUCCACGGCCAAAGCAUGAUCAACACCAGAACUGUAUGGGUGUUAGAUUUAUUACAAUGUAAUUCACAUAGUGAUGUGAGGGCUAGAUUAUUGACUCUAGUGCAAGUGGGAGACUGUUGGAAUUAUGCCCUAGAGGCAAUAAUAAAUAUAGUUAUUAUUAUAAUUCCUGUAUCAAGAUAAUCGUUUAUUAUCCAUGCUAUAAUUGUAUUGAAUGAAGACUCAUUUACAUGUGUGGAUACAUAGACAAAGCGCCGUCCCUAGCAAGCCUCUAGUUGGCUAGCUAGUUGAUCAAAGAUAGUCACUGUCUUCUGAUUAUAAACAAGGUGUUGUUGCUUGAUAACUGGAUCACGUCAUGAGGAGAAUCACGUGAUGGACUAGACCCAAACUAAUAGACAUAGCAUGUUGAUCGUGUCAUUUUGUUGCUACUGUUUUCUGCGUGUCAAGUAUUUAUUCCUAUGACCAUGAGAUCAUAUAACUCACUGACACCGGAGGAAUGCUUUGUGUGUAUCAAACGUAACUGGGUGACUAUAAAGAUGCUCUACAGGUAUCUCCGAAGGUGUUAGUUGAGUUAGUAUGGAUCAAGACUGGGAUUUGUCACUCCGUGUGAACGGAGAGGUAUCUCGGGGCCCACUCGGUAAUACAACAUCACACACAAGCCUUGCAAGCAAUGUAACUUAGUGUAAGUUGCGGGGUCUUGUAUUACGGAACGAGUAAAGAGACUUGCCGGUAAACGAGAUUGAAAUAGGUAUACGGAUACUGAUGAUCGAAUCUCGGGCAAGUAACAUACCGAAGGACAAAGGGAAUGACAUACGGGAUUAUAUGAAUCCUUGGCACUGAGGUUCAAACGAUAAGAUCUUCGUAGAAUAUGUAGGAUCCAAUAUGGGCAUCCAGGUCCCGCUAUUGGAUAUUGACCGAGGAGUCUCUCGGGUCAUGUCUACAUAGUUCUCGAACCCGCAGGGUCUGCACACUUAAGGUUCGACGUUGUUUUAUGCGUAUUUGAGUUAUAUGAUUGGUUACCGAAUGUUGUUCGGAGUCCCGGAUGAGAUCACGGAUGUCACGAGGGUUUCCGGAAUGGUCCGGAAACGAAGAUUGAUAUAUAGGAUGACCUCAUUUGAUUACCGGAAGGUUUUCGGAAUUACCGGGAAUGUACCGGGAAUGACGAAUGGGUUCCGGGAGUUCACCGGGGGAGGGCAACCCACCCGGGGAAGCCCAUAGGCCUUGAGGGUGGCACACCAGCCCUUAGUGGGCUGGUGGGACAGCCCAAAGGGCUCUAUGCGCCAAGAAGAGAAAAAUCAAGAGAAAAGAAAAAAUAAGGAGGAGGUGGGAAGGAAGGGGGACUCCCUCCCACCAAACCAAGUCCAACUCGGUUUGGGGGGGGGGGGUCUUCCCCCSUUGGACUCGGCCGACCCCCUUGGGGCUCCUUGAGCCCCAAGGCAAGGUCCCCUCCCUCCCACCUAUAUAUACUGAGGUUUUAGGGCUGAUUUGAGACGACUUUUCCACGGCAGCCCGACCACAUACCUCCACGGUUUUUCCUCUAGAUCGCGUUUCUGCGGAGCUCGGGCGGAGCCCUGCUGAGACAAGGUCAUCACCAACCUCCGAAGCUCCGUCACGCUGCCGUAGAACUCUUCUACCUCUCCGUCUCUCUUGCUGGAUCAAGAAGGCCGAGAUCAUCUUCGAGCUGUACGUGUGCUGAACGCGGAGGUGCCGUCCGUUCGGUACUAGAUCGUGGGACUGAUCGCGGGAUUGUUCGCGGGGCGGAUCGAGGGACGUGACGACGUUCCACUACAUCAACCGCGUUCACUAACGCUUCUGCUGUACGAUCUACAAGGGUACGUAGAUCACUCAUCCCCUCUCGUAGAUGGACAUCACCAUGAUAGGUCUUCGCGCGCGUAGGAAAAUUUUGUUUCCCAUGCGACGUUCCCCAACACAGCAUACAUACGAACUUGGCAUGUAACGGGCUUGGUAGAUAUAUGUCCUGUCCCGCCCAGUCACGCGUGUCCAUCAUUAAACAGUCGCACACACCGGAGACGCGUCUCUCCAUCCCCAACCCCCACCCUAAAAGCAACUCCAACCCAUUCCCAACCCCUUCCAUUGGGGCAUUGGAUGAAGGGCUUUCUUCCUAGAAUGCUCACUCGGUUGCCGCACGUAGUUCGAGAACACCAUGAAAGUCUGCUUGAACUUCAACAAUAUUGAAGAUAUGCACAAAGAGCCACACGUUAUGAUGGAGAAGGCGACAACAGAGGAGUUGAAGAUGUUGAUUCCUGACCCAAUGAAGGGUUCUAUGUCUAUCGACAUGCUUUGCUGGGCCAUGAAUCAUGGGGACUACGGUGAUGCUGGACACACGACAAAGUUGGCGAAGUACAAAGAGUACACGCGUCCUCAUGACCAUCGUGUUGCUACCUACUUCACGACAAGGAUUGUGGUGACGUUGGAGGAGGUACAAUAAGUAGUGGCGACAAAGUGGCAGAAGAAGUGAUGGCGAUGGUUGUAACGACGCCGGAGCCAGGACACCGAAGUAUGCCGAUUGAUCUGGAAUCCGACGAGAAAGAAGAGAUGACGGUGCAACACAACAAGGCCAAGGGCACCCGCCAUUCCAACCACCUCCAGGGUCGCCGAGGCUAAGAUAUGAUACUAUUGUGUAAGAUUAACCCCUAAUCCUCAUUCCCCUUGUACUUAAUCGAGAUUGCGAACCUCAAAUCAUCGCUACUACAAACUCAUGAUGAUGUUAUGAUCACUCCUAUGGAUAUUUAUCCACAUUCCCCAUUCCCAUAACGAGGAUCAGAUGCAAAAUAGUAAGCGAGGAGGUGAAAAAGGUGUUUACCGUCAUUGUCGAAGUGCUGCUCGUGAUGUUGCGGAUGCCGGUAAAAGGGUCGGAGUUCAGCUUGCUAUUCUCCGAUCUGCUGACCGUCGCCACCGCUGCCGGUGAGAGUGGAAGAGUGGAGAAACGGUUGGGGUGGGGAGAGAAUGGUGAGGGAAGGUGAGGGUAAUUAUUGUCGGCGCUUCGUGCAGCAACACGACUUCUCGAGCAUGGCUCCUCGCAUGCACUCCCCACCGCCCACGUGCAUCGUGCGGACCUGGCUCUAAACAAAUAUUGAUUUCAGCGUUUCCAGCAGGCGUGGCUGCGAGGUGCUUUGAGGUCCGUACGAUGCAGACCAAACAAUAAACACAUGUAAGCAAUCAUUCCAUUUUCUUUUCAUGUCGGUCUGCUGGAGCUAUAUACAUGCUACCAAGCACGUCUACAAGCACACAUGUGUGCUACUGUAAGAGCAGUUACAACCGGAUGCCUCAAAUGACUUCUCAUAUGUGUACGGACUCGCCCGGUGAGUAAGCGGACAAGAGAGAAGGAAAAAGGUGAACCAACCCGACCCCUCAUAUCAUCCAUAUAUGUUUGGUCUAUUCGUGAAUCAUCGUAUUCAUCUUAAAUAUAAGGAGGAUAUGAGGGUUUGCGCACGUGCCCGGACGAUCGGUUAGUGCGCCACGUAGGAUGUGACCCCACCUGGACCACUUUUCCCCUUUAUUAAUUCUUUUUUUCUCUCUUUAUUUCUUUUCAUCAAUCACGUGCAUGUAACGUACUUAUGAAAACAAUAUGAAAUAUGGUCGUACGGAUAGACAAAUAGAGGUUACGUUCAGUCAUUGACGAAUAGAGUCAUAUUUACCAAGUCGGCGCGUAGAUGCUGUAAGGGCAUCUCCAACAGUUUUUGUUGGUUAGCUUGUUGGUAAAAUAUGACAUAUCAUCAUCCAGCACGUCAACAUACAACUACUCUAAGGCUGCCCGUAAUGAUAGUAUCAUAGGUAAUAUCAUGCAUGCCAACUAGACACUUUUGAUGAGGUGGCAUAGAAUUAAAUGAAGAAAAGAGAGGGUUGAGUAUCAUAUCAUCAUACCGUAUCAUAUUAAAUGAGGGGGUGUUUUUUACAGGGACUUUUUAGUGUAGGGACUAAAAAAAGUCCCUUUUAGUCCCAUGUGAAACAAACAGGAGGGACUUUUAGGGACUAAAAGGGGUAUAUGGGACUAAAGGAAGAAGUCCCUAUGGAAGGGUAUUUUGGAGACUUUUUUGACACUUUUUCCAACAGUGCCCCUACUUUUAGCAUGUCAUUUAAUAACUCUAGUAUAUUACUAGGGGUAACAUGGUCUUUUUGCAUGUCAUUUAAUGACCUCUAGUCCCUGUUUAGUCCAUCAAAACAAACGGAUAUGGACUAGAGACUUUUUAGGCUCUCCGUAAUGGUAGUAUCAUAGGUAGUAUCAUGCAUGCCAACUAGGCACUUUCGAUGAGGUGGCAUAGAAUUAAAUGAAGAAAGAGAGGGUUAAGUAUCAUAUCAUGAUACAGUAUCAUAUUAAAUGAUGUGCUACUAUGUGUCUUGCAUGGCAAUAAAUGAACUACACUAUGAUACUAUGCAUUACGUCCUGGGACUUUUGAAACAAACAGGGCCUGAUGUGCUACUUUGUGUCUUGAAUGACGAUAAAUGAACUACACUAUGAUACUAACAUAUGAUACUAUGCAUUACGGAUGUGUUAUCAUACACUAGUACCAUAUGCAUGAUACUAGUAUAUGAUACUACCCAUUACAACCAGCCUAAUGGAUUGUAUCUAGUUUGCCCAAUAAAAUGUGAGAUAAAAAAUAAGGUGCUCUCUCAUUCUACAUUGGAGCUUGUGCAAGGGUGUUGGUUAAUUUACAUACAACCUUACUCUUUUUCCUCAUUUAUUGCAUGACACAUCAUAAAAAAACUUAUGUGUCAAAAUCUACCAACAACUAUCUUAUGACCCUGUUUCUUUAAAAAGUCCUAGGACUUUUUUUAGUCCCAACUAAAAAGUCAAUAGUACCUACCCGUUUUUUUAGGAACUAAACAAGGACUAAAGGUCGUUAAAUGAUAUGCAAAAAGACCAUGUUAUCCUAGUAAUGUACUAGAAGUUAUUAAAUGACAUGUUAAAAGUAGGAGCAACGUUGAAAAAAGUGUCAAAAAAGUCCUAGAAAGACCCUAUCAUAGAGACUUCUUCCUUUAAUCCCAAAUACCUUCUUUUAGUCCCUAAAAGUCCCUCCUGUUUGUUUCAUAUGGGACUAAAAUGGACUUUUUUAGUCUCUAGAAUAAAAAGUCCGUGUAAAGAAACACCUCGUGUAACCAUUGGAGAUGCCGUAAGCUGCUGCCAUUUGAUGGCGUACGGUGCUAGUGCGCCGAGCUUGUAAUGGCUGACUGGCCGACGAAGCGUAUCUUGUGACUGGCCGACGAUGCGUAUCUUGUGAUGGGUGAGUGUAUCUUUCAACGAGCUGGUGACUUGGCAACCGUAUCCCCGGCCGGGCCACAGUAGCAGCGUGAUGCCUCCGGCGCGCUCGUCUCUUCCCCGUUGCCCUCCUGCCUGCCGCCUUGGCGCUAAGCGGAAACCGCCAUGGCGUGACCGUGAUACAUGACCAGGUUGCCUGGUCCUGGCCCAGCAAAACGCACGACAACUCGUAUGGGAGCAGGCUAGUAGUGUGUCCAACUUGUCACCGUGAGCGCCUUUUGGCUCCUCGGAAAGGGGAGUGUGUGAUGUGUGGUGUGGCGGGCAACGGCGGGGGAGGAGCGAUAAGGUUCCCGACGGCUGGAUGGAUGAGAUGCGCGGGGCGUGGCUCGUCUCGUGGUCACCCUCGCUUUGCUCCGGCUACGGGUGCGGUGCGCGCAUGUACGCUCGUGUGCGUGGCUUGGACGCUAGCCGGCGAUGAACAGGGGCUCGUGUGCGUGCACGGACACGGUGGUGACUGCUGAGGUGGUGGCGCCAUCCAUAUCUUCCUAUCCGAACUUCGGAGGAACGGUGUGGCUCCCCUAUCCUAGGACCGGACGCGUACCUAGCUUGGACGUUGGCGUUUCUCCGUCUGCGUAGCCAUCCAUGAUCCAUGCCGUAUUUUCUGUUGUGCUUUUCUCCAUGGAGCUUUCUCUCCACCGGACAAUUGCGACUUCCUAGUUCCUAAUGCGGCUUCGAGCGUAUGUACGUGCGCACGUACGUACUACUCGGCAGCUGGAAAGUGAAUGGGACGAGACCAUGGCCGCUGGUUGUUGGAUCAAUCCAUAUCCAUGAUCCAUCAGAAGGAGCUCUUGUGCACGCCAUGGGCGUGUGUGUAUAUAUAUGUCACGCUUAAAGCAUUUAAUCCGAACGUCUCAAACCGGUCUUAAAAGUCACGACGGACGGUCUGGUUACUCGCUGGUUAAAAAACCUUGCUCACAGUGUGAAACGAUUUUUCAAAUCGGUGCUAACCGUUUACAACAUCUCCGGCCGCGUCUCCAACAGACCCUUUUCAGUCCAUAUUUUUUCACCGACAAGGAAAAAACCGAUCCAGUCGUGUUUCAAGGAGUCGAUUUUUCGCCGGUUAGGGCCGAAACUGACCGCGCCGGUUCCAGCCCGAACCUAGCGCGUUGGGGGGCGCCCGAGGACGCGGGCAGAAGGAAAAACGACGGGUCGGCCCCCCUUGUCAUGCGGAAAGAGGCUUUUUCUUCUCCUGAUACAUCCCUCGCGCACCACACCUUUCGCCAUCGUGUCGGUUCCGGCACCGUCCACCUACCUACCGCCGCUACAAAGGCCAUCUCCCCGUCGAUGGACGUAGGGUUCACCGCGGCUUCGCCCCCCUCCCCAUGGUUCUUGGUGAGUUUUUCCGGCGCUCCGGACACGUAAGCGGCUGCGCGUCCGUCACGCCCGCCAGGUGUUCGGAGAUUUGCCUAGGCGAUGGACUCCAACGACGAGGAAGCGUUCGCGACGCUACUGGAGGAGGAAGCCGAUGCCGACGCCUAGGAUGAAGAGCACCUCAUGGUCCUCGUCGCUCUGACCGGACUGUUCGCGCGCAAUGCAAAGCCGCGGCGAGGUGGCUAGGUGUCGGGCCGGCUGAAGGCAAAGCAGAGGCAUCGACUCAAAGGCUAUUGCUUUCUCUACGCCGACUACUUCGCCGAUGCUCCUAUGCACGGCGAUAAAUUAUUUCGACGCCGUUAUCGUAUGAGCCGGAAGCUCUUCUUCAGGAUUGUGAAUUCCAUCUGGGAGUUCAACAACUACUUCAAGUGCAAAUAGGAUUACACCAGCACACUUGGAUUCACCUCGCUCCAAAAGUGCACGACAACUAUGAGGAUGCUUGCGUAUGGAGCUCCCGAUGAUAUUCUGAAAGACUAUGGACGCAUGGAUGAUGAUGCUCGCGAGUAUUCAACAAAAAAUGGACCGGGAGGUAGAGCACAUUCUCAACUUCAAGGACUCGGUUAAAGGGAAUGUAGUUCUGAACGGGAUACGGUCUGUCCAGCAUGGCUCUUUUACAAUAACUAUUUUGCUCCCGGACCAACUUUCCAUGAUGAAACGUUGUUUCGUCGCCAUUUUCAUAUGCACAAACCAUGGUUCUUGUGCAUUAUGGAGAGAUGGAGACACACGGUGAUUACUUAAAGCUCACGAGGGAUUGUUGCGGACCACUAUCAUUCUAUGCUAAGCAAGAAUGCAUGGAUGCUCUGAGGAUGCUUGCACUUGGUACUGUCGUCGAUACCGUUGGUGAGAUGGUUCGGAAGGGGGAGCACAUGCCUAAAGACCACUAUGAGGUUUGCUCGUGCCAUGGUGUCGGUGUUUGGAGUAGAGUAUCUGACACAAAAAAUGUGCAAAAUACAGAAAAGUUACGUCCUAUAGGAGAGGCAAGAGGUUCGAGGUAUAUUUGGUUCAAUUGAUUGCAUGUAUUAGCAAUGAAAUAAAUGCCACAAAGGUUUGUGUGGUAUAUACCAAAGUCACACCAAAGAGACUGCCACCAUACUAUAAGUAGUGCCAUCACAUGACUUAUGGAUUUCUCAUGCUUUCUUUGGAAUCUCUGGUUAGAAAAACGAUAUGAAUGUGCUUCAGCAAUCUCCCGUGUUCACGAGACAUUACAAUGGAUAAUUGCAGUAGUACAACCAUACCGUUGGCGGUCGCAACUACAACAUGAGCUAUUACAUUGCUUAUGGUACCUAUUCUGAGUGGGCGACGUUUGUAAAGACCAUAUAUAUCAUCCCCAAAACAAUAUACAAAGCUACUUUGCAACAAUGCAGAAAACAACUAGAAAGGGUGUGAAGAUGGCAUCUCAAGUCUUCAACCUUGUUGGGUAAUUAUUUAUGUAGCUGCAAUGAUGUGAGAAUCAGAGAAUUUGUAUAUUUGCUAUGAUAACAAUAAGCAAAAAAUGGAGAUAAGUUUGUCCACUCAUUUGUAUUGACGAUCUUCCUUUUUCUUUCUUUUCAUCUUGUUAAAGGUGACCUGCAGUUCCGUUUGUCAUGGUCUUGGCCGCCGCAGACCAUGCACUUCCUUUGUUUUGUUGGUUUUGCAAUGCCAAAUGGAUGUUGAACUAUUUUUGUUUUGGCUGCCCUUUCAUGAUAGUCAUCGGAGGGUCUAGUAUCAUUCUUGUGUUGGAGGAAUGGUAUGUGGCGCCAUGUGGUUGCAAUGUAGAGCAGGGAACUGUAGCUACAGUAAUCACAACAUGAACAAAAAAUGAGGGCAUUCUUAAAGACUAGGCAGAGCAAGAAAGUUAUUAUGGGGAAGACAAAAACUACCAGAUGUUAAAUGCUAAAGUUAUGAUUGAAAGCAAAGAAAGUUAUCAUACCAUAGAGGAAAAAAAAUAACAGAAUACAGAUGCUACCAUGAGAACACAAAAACACAAAAAAUAUAACAUACCUUAGAUGCUCAAUUUACCAUUAAAAAAGUUGUAAUACCAGCAAAAUAGAAAGAUACCGGACUAUGUAUACUGAAGUUAUCAUGAAAAGGAUACUUGAACUAUACAUUUUCGCUACCAAUAAAAUGUUAUUUACUUGUGACAUUUUCGUGUAUAAUGGAUCAUGGAUGUGCAUGAGUUUUGAGGGUUUGGAUUUGGAAUUUGUGGCUGUCCGGCAAGCCAAAUGAGGAGCCGUCACGUGUUGUACAUACUCUUAUACUUAGCUUUGUUGCAUAGCCGAUUUUGCUUCCAACAUACUUUUUCGGGGGCUGCUUGGAACAUAUUUUUUCGGGGUGGAUCUAUCAUCGCCACUCCUUCCUCCAAGUAUGUACUACUCAAUGGAGUUGUUUUGAUUCGCAUAUAUUAGGGUUUGGAUAAUCAAAAUCGCAAAAAAACUCCUUUUUGUCUCAGGAAUCGCCCAGAAUCAUCUCAGAAUCGGAGUAUAUCACUGAAUCGUCCCAAGCCCAUGAUUCUGACGAUUAUAGAUGACCCUCAAAAGAAAAUGUUUCGUUUGAUAGAAUACAUCUAUUUGAGGAGGGUAAUUAGAGGAAAUACCUUGAGGCCAAACUAUCACUCCACGAGUGGUUCCUUUCCCGUCUUUCCUCACGUCGCCCUUGCCCCGUCGCCGCUCGACUCCAGCCCUCCACUGAACCCCACCCCGCCAUCGCUUGGCUCCGCCCUUCGACACGACGAGCGUAUGUCGACACUCGCUUGAGGUGCCCUACUGCAUGACUCCCCAUGGCACGUCUCUGUCGGCACUGGCAGGCCAACGACACGGCCUCCUUCACCGCGUCGUUCCUCUAGAAAGUCCAUGGGCGCUAGAAUGGUGCUUGUGCCUGUGAGUGGCUUCCUCGACUCCAUCCACCCUCUCAUCUCACAUGAGACUGCUUCCUUGUGCUUGUUGUUGGCAUGCACCGCCGAUGGUGCGGUCAUGGUUUGGUGGUGGCUAUUGCUAAUAUCUAUUGUUGUUGUCAAAACUUUUAUGUUUGUUUGUUGUUGUGUGCUAGACAGUGCUAUGCUAACAAAUGUUAGACGUCACUACAAGAAAUAUGCUCAUACUUGACGUUUUUUAAAAUGUCGUUGAUGAGUUCGUCAUAAAUCUAUGACGAUUUCAUCCGAGAUUGUCUUAAGCCGUUUGAGGGUAUCAAAUCUACAUAUAAAUUACGACAAUGUGAGUCAAAAACGUCGUAACCGCAUAAGAUGAGAUCGUCAUAAUUUUUACGACGAUUAUAAAAACAUCGUAACAUGAUGUAACAUAAUUUUUACGACGAUUAUAAAAACAUCGUAAAAUGUAUUGAAUUUUUUUAUAUCACUUUUCUGUUGGCUAUUUUUUUUCAUCUUACUUUUCUGUUGGCUAUUUUUUUCAUCUUACUUUUAUAUUGGGCUUGCUAAUGGGCUUGUCCACAUCGUGUGCACCACUGUGCCAUUUACAAACCCUGCUGGCAAAAAUUCGGCGCUGCUGGGACUCGAACCCGAAAGCUCUGCGCCAACCGCCACUACGCUAGCCACUGCGCUAGCCACUAACUUCUGUUAGUUGGAUACAACUCAACCAGUAUAUAGUAAGUUUGGAAAGAUACCCUUCCCUAAUUCAGAUAGAUACAAGAGCACAGAGGGAUGUUUUCAGAUAUGUUGCGGCGGCGGAUCUGGUGACCGUGGCGGUGGCUGAUGCGGAGGUGGCCGGCGGCGGUGGCUGGUCCGGCCGUGCCCAACGGAGGGGGCUGGUGCGGCCGUGCCCAGCGGAGGGGGCUGGUGCGGGGGCGCUGAGCGGCGGAGGGAGCUGGUGCAGGGGCGCGCGCUGAGCGGCGGAGGGAGCUGGUCCGACGGCGGCGACACGCACUUCUUCCCCUGUUUCUUGGAGGUAUGGCACUAGCAGCAUGGCACUUCUUCUUGUCUGUCAGCAUAUCCAUGGAAGUACCAAGGCACUAGCAGCAUAUCCAUGGAAGUACCGAGGCAUGGGAGGGGAAAAACUGCAGAAUGUCUGUUCCAUCCUGCUUCCUGGCAAAGAGCUGAACUUGAGGCAUCAUCUCCUGUUCGUGAAUACUCUGCACAGAACUUCAGGCAUGGCACUAGCAGCAUAUCCAUGGAGGGACAGUGUCUGCAGUGGCAUGUGCAGAUCUUAGAUGAAUAUGCCGUGGUGAAAGUAGGGACAGGGUCUUAGCAGUGCCUGCAUCUACAUGUUUUAUAUUUAUAUUUAUACUUGGUGAAAGUAGAGGUAGUUGCAAGAAUUGUUCUCUAGGUUUGGUUUGCUUUUUGCUAGCUACUGUUGGUCUCUGAGCUUUGAUUGAUGCUAAGUUGCAACAUUUCUUGGUCUUCGGCAGAUCGAGAGGAGCUGGAUUAAAGGAGUUAGACGGCUUUCCACUGAACAUACAAAAGGAGUCGAAGAAUUUAUGCAAUUUGUUCGUAGAAGUGUUGCCGAGGAUGCUCAUGUUCUUUGCCCAUGUCGGAGCUGUCUCAACCGUGCACAACAACCUCUAGGAACUAUAGAGGCUCAUCUCUUGAUUUAUGGGAUGGCAAGCACAUAUGAUCGGUGGGUCUAUCAUGGAGAACCUUUACAUGCUGAACCUGAACCUAAACCUGAUGCAGACCCACACCAUGUUGAUGAAGGCAAUGAUUUUGUACAAGAUGAUCCGCCAGCGGUGCUGGUUUUGAGGAGGGUGGAAAUGAAGAUGACAGAAUUCCUGAGUUGUUAAAGGAUUUCUACAAUUCAGAACCGCAAGGUGAUCGACAGAAGACAAUCUUUGCCGAGCUGUUAGAGGAGGCGAAGCGCCCAGCUAGUGAUGGUGGUAAAUUUUCCAAAUUUUCCUUCACCGUGAAGUUACUUCACGCCAAGUCUUUCUACCGGAUGACCAAUGUUCAAUUCAACGGAUUUCUCCGUAUCAUGACCUUGCAAUAUCCAGAUAGCGAAAUUUCCAAAUCUUAUGAUGAAGCAUUGAGUAUAAUGAGCACAUUGGGACUUGGCUAUGUUUCAAUCCAUGUCUGCCCGAAAAAUUGUGUCUUGUUUCGGAAGCAGUUUGCCCACUACGACGAGUGUCCAAAAUGUAAUGCCUCCAGGUGGAAAAAUGCUGAUGGGAAGAAGCGGAUACCGGUGAAGGUAUUGAGGCACUUUCCUUUGAUUCCAAGUCUGCACAGGAUGUUUAUUUCGAAGAAACAAUCGGAGGAGGUACAAUGGCACAAGCUAAAUCGGAAAGCCGUGGAGGGUGAACUCAGCCAUGCAGCUAACGGGGAGGCAUGGAAAGAGUUGGACAAAUUAGAUAAAGAAUUUGCCGCUGAUCCAAGGAACUUUAGACUCGGCAUUGCCGGUGAUGGUUUUAAUCCAUUUUGAAAGAUGAGCACAUCCUAUAGUAUGUGGCCUGUAUUUGUGAUUCCAUACAACCUUCUGCCAUGGGCAUCUAUGGAUCAGUCCAACGUCAUGAUGGUGUUGCUGAUUCCGGGUCCAAAUUCUUCCGGCAAGGAUUUUGAUGUCUUUAUGGAGCCCCUCGUAGAUGAACUGCUCCUGCUAUGGAAGGGUGUACUUACAUAUGAUGUCGGAAGUUCCGAAAAGUUCAAUCUACGUGCUGCGAUCUUAUGGUGCAUCCAUGAUUACCCGGCGCUGCACACUUUAUCGGGGAGGACCACAGGGGGGUAUCAAGCAUGCGUUCGUUGUGACAAGGACCCUUGCUCAAAGAGAAUAAGGAGCAAGAUAUGCUUUACUGGGCACCGCCGUUUUCUUAGUCGCAGCCAUCCUUGGCGGAAAAGGAAGGAUUUUAAUGGCGAGACUGAAACUCGCGAUAAGCCAGCACAAUUCACUCAUGAAGAGCUUGAGCAGCAACUUGACAAAGUCAAAGAUGUGAGACCAGGAAAGCAUGGAAAGAAAAGAAAGCGUCAGCAGGGUCAAUGUUGGGACCGGAGGUCUAUUCUGCGGGACCUCCCGUACUGGAAACACCUGAAGCUCAGGCAUAAUCUUGAUGUUAUGCACAUCGAGAAAAACAUAUGUGAGAAUUUGCUAGGGAUAUUUCUGAAUAUUGAAGGAAAGACAAAGGACACGGUUAACUCCAGGCUAGAUUUGGAAGACAUGGGCAUAAGAGAAGAUUUUCACCUACAGCCUUCUGAAGACGGAGAGUCAUUCGAAAUGCCAGAAGCAUGGUAUACGAUGACUAAAGAAGAAAAGCAUGCAUUGUGUGAAUAUAUAAUGAAUGUGAGAUUUCCAGAUGGGUACGCCGCGAACCUAGCAAAAUGUGUUUCUCCUAAUGGAUGCAAGCUUCAAGGCAUCAAAACACAUGAUUGUCACAUCUCCGAGGUUUGAUGGAUAAGGAAGUAUAUGAAGCGGUUGCUGAGCUAGGGAAUUUCUUUAAAGAGUUGUGCUGCAAAACACUGAAGCUAGAUGUUCUGAAAAGACUUGAAAAAGAAAUCCCAAUUAUCCUUUGCAAGCUGGAGAAUAUUUUCCCUCCAUCUUUCUUCACUGUUAUGGUUCAUUUGGCCAUCCAUUUACCUGAAGAGGCAAUGCUUAGAGGACCUGUACAAUACGGCUGGAUGUACCCGAUCGAAAGAAGGCUGCUUACACUGAAGCGGUAUGUGCGAAACACGGCCAGACCGGAGGGAUCCAUUGCCGAAGCAUAUAUUGUCGAUGAGUGCUCGACAUUUUGCUUGAGGUACUUUGACGAUGUGGAAACGAGAUUUAAUCGACCGGGUAGAAACAGAGAGCGGGAUGAUUCGCAAGGUGGUGAUCUCUCGGUUUUCAAGCAUGGUGUGAGCUUUCUUUGAGCUUCAGAUUACGUGCCUGCUGGUGAUGACUAUGACAAGAUGGUUUGGUAUGUCCUCAGAAGUUGCCCUGAGGUUCAACCCUAUAUCGAGUAUGGCAUCUCUUGUGCACUUAAUUGUAUCAUUUUUCUCUGGUUGGAAUGAACACAUUAUUUAGGCCUGAUGCUUUAAUUUAUUAUUUUGUUGGCAUUACAGCUUGUGCAAGGAAGAGCCGAACCAACAAGGUAUCAUCAAUGUUGAUAAAUGGCUUGCGAAGGGAUUUUCUCAAUGGUUUAAGACUCAUGUGAGAUAUUUAGCAUUUGAUCAAUUGACACGUAAUUUUCCAUGUGUGUUAUUCACCCUGGUUUUAUUUGUGCAGAUUGGAAAAUUACAUGAGAAGAACAAUGUUAGUGAUGAUCUCUUUGCCUUGGCAUGUGAACCGGAUAAGCGAGUGAGAUUGUAUUCUGCGUGUAUUGUUGAUGGUGUCCGGUACCACAUUGUUGACCGCCAGAAAGAUCGAAAGUCACAGAAUAGUGGAAUUUUUACCGAGGGAGAACAUGAAGGCGCUGACAUCGACUUCUAUGGUCAGCUCAAAAGCAUCAUAAAGCUGCAGUACAACACUAUCAGAGGUGUCCGCCGUUCGGUCGUCUUAUUCCGUUGUGACUGGUUUGAUCUUAGUUGCAAGAAAACCUACACAGGAUUCAAUGAUGAUUGACACUUCAUAAGCAUUAACACUGGAAAGUGUUGGUACAAGAAUGAUCCUUUUAUUCUAACAACACAAGCAACAAUGGUAUUCUAUGUGCCAGACACUCGUUUGCAUGGAAAUUGGCGAGUUGUGCAAAAGUUCCAGCAUAUGCAUUUGUGGAGUGUGACUGAAAAUGAAAUAGGAGAUGGUCCCGGUGGUAUCGGGCUAUCAUACCAAGAUGAUGACACCCCAGAAGUUCUAGUGCAAGCUCAAGAAGCCAAUGUGCAAACCAGAUUGCGAAGGGACAGGGAAGGCGUGUUUGUUGAGGCUGCAGUGGUAGAAAGAAUGAAGAAAAGGAGGAAGGAGGUAGUGGAUGGUCAUGAAAGCGAGGAUGAUGAAGAGAUUGGGACUAAUGAUACAAUCCUCCAAUAUUGUAGCGACGGCGAGAAUGAUAUGGACGAUGACGAGUAGCAGUUCCGCUCAUGCAUCUUUUGCCACAAUCAGUUCAGUUUUACUCUGUGUGUAAUCAGUUAAGUUUUUCAAUGUUUUAAGUACCGGAGAAUCUGAGUGCUGUGCUACAUAAUUAGUCCAACUUUUGCUUGUGCAAUCAGUUCAAGGAAAUGAAGAAAUAGACCUUGUGCAAUCAGCUUUUAAGUUCUGUGUAAUCUGUUUUUUCAACUUGUAAAAUAUGUUUUAUAGUAUGCGUUUUUUUUGUCCGCCCUUGUAAAAUAUGAACAAGGAAAUGAAGAAACAGACCUGUCCUAUCUGUCCUAUCUACAAAUAUGAAGUCUUUGGGUCUUCCUCUAGCAUGCCAUAGCACAAAAGAAAAAAGAAAAACAAUACCAGUUUCUCAUUUUGUCAUGAUGCUCAAGAUAGUAGUAGCACAAAAUUCUGAUCAAACUCGCAUGCUCAAGUUGUCCUCAUGCUUCACAAGAAAAGAUAGCAACAGCACAAAUGACAAGAUAGCAGCAGCAAGUGCAACUGCUAGAAACUGAUUUAAUAACAGGGUACUGAUUUAAUAACUAGAAUAUUUUCAGAAAGUAUUCAUGCAUUUAGAGAAAUAUAAGGGUACUGAUUUAAUAACUAGAAUAGCCAAAAUAUUCAUGCAUUUCGCAGCAAGUGCAACUGCCAGAAACUGAUUUAAUUACUAGAAUAGCAGCAACACAAAAUAAGAGGGUACUGAUUUAAUAACCAGAAACUGAUUUAAGAACAGGGUACUUGUCAAACUUGAUUGUGAUCAAACUAGGUACCAUAACAUAACAAGUGCCAUCAUUUUACAUAGCCAUAACACCUACAUAACCAGGAUACCAUCAGUUUACAUAGCCAUAACACCUAGAUAGUCCUACACUAGUUUAGUAACUAUUAAUUUGAGUCCACCAAAGUGACGGCGGAACCAAAACACAAAGAUAUCUCCCCUCUUCAUCUUGGUCUUGUCCACGACAUCCUUCAAGUUGGUUGUUAUGCUAGCAUCCUUGUUCUUUGCCUUACUGAAGAUCAUCCUAACUUGAGCAAUCUUCUUCGCCUUGUAAUAGACCUCGAGGGAAUGUUCUUCUUCCAAGGCAAGAUGCUUUUUGAUGUGUUGAGUGGUGUAGGGCUUAUUGAAGUACUACACAUAAAAAAACAUGGGCAACUUGUAAAAAACAUGGGCAACAUGGACAACUUAUUAAAAAGAUGGGCAACUUCUUACCAUUUUUGCCUUCUUGGGUAUCACGUGAGCUUCUUGAAUGCUGCAUACAUAAUAAGGUAUGGUUGGAUUUCGAUCACGAAUUUGGCGCUUUAAUUUUUCAACUUGUGAGGGCUUAAAGGCGACUUUGUUAGCAUACACGCAAUGUUUAUCAAAAUUAGCAUUCCCUGUUUUGUUGGGACCUCGUGUUGUCAUCUUGACAACAGCCUCAUCAUCAGAGCUAAGUACAAUGACCUCCUUCAUCCUACGAAUGCAAAUAAGUCCUGUUAUGUUAUCUAUUUGUUCAGUACACUAAAUUGGACCGCACUAAAAUUUGAUAUAAACCUUGUCACAAAACCACUAACUUGCACACUUAUUAGAUGAUGAUUCAGAACUUAAGGGUGGCACUUGAUUAAGAAAAAGCAAUAUUAGAGCCAAUAUUAGAUUGUGAAUACAUGUAAAAGUGCACACAUCAGUUUGAAACAGGGUCUGGUUCAUGCUCAAUGGGAUGUGUGUUCCGCAAUUUAGUGCAUCAUGCAUCAAGACAAAUGAAACUAGCAUCUGCAACAAAAGUAUUUGUGCAUCUGAUAAGAAACCAAAAAUAAAGUGGCCAAAUGGAAUGCAAGAUGACAUGAUAAUGUAACCACCAUGUCAAGUUGGAGAAAACAUAAAUUGCAAUAUUUGUUUCUCUCCAAAAAUAAGUUUAACGAGAAGAGCAUCUAGUCAGUCUAGCUGAACAAAAUGUGGACAGUACCAUCAUCAGUAUUUAAGCAGACAUGUAGCAGGCAAUCAAAUGAAUAUAUGGAGAAGAUGAAUAAAAUGAGGCAAUCAACAGCUUAGCACGCAACCAUUUUUUCACUAGCAAAACAACCUUACUAGCUAACUAGUACGUGCCCAUCAAUGACACGCAUCAUGCAGGACCAAAUCUAAAAAACAAUUCAUUCAAUAUCAAAACAAGCUCCUUAGCUAGUGACUGGCCAGGAACAACGCACGCAUCAAUCAGCAGGGCCAAAUCUUAUGAGAUGUUCGGACCUUAUGAGGCAAAUUACGCAAGAAAUAAGCUUGUUGGAGUGGAGUGGCAUGAAGCAAGAAAGCAGUAAACCACCCAGCCCAGCCCAGCUAGUUUGGUUUCAAAACCAUGACAUUUGUUUCGGAACAGAGGCACUAUAAAUCAAAUGACACUAUGGGUAGAAAAAACUAAAUAUGGCAGCGAGUUUUUCUUCUCGAUAGCACAAAAAUUACGUGCCAUAACUUUAUAGAAGACAGCUCCAACGCAUAAGGUCAAUGUCUAAAUUGGUCAACAAAGACGUGUCUCAGCCAACAACUCUAAACAAACUCUCCUUGUCGCACAAGGACUCGGAUAACCGAAAAUCAUUGUGCGCCCCGACAAACAAUCCAGUGCAAUGACUCCAACGUAGUCAAUUACCAAAGCCUAAAAUGCAACACUUCGUAGCAAGGAAUUAAAAUUUGUCUUCCAGUCACAAAGCACCAGUGAGCAUGUUUUCUGAUAACGAUUGUACAUGCCUACAGGUAUCUGCGGGCAUCCAUGAAUUUUCUGAUAUGCACAAGCUAGAGGACUUAAAUCACGGAUGAGGCUCAGGUGUGCUCAGCUAUCAGCCGAUACUAAAUCUGAGCCUGCAGUUAGCUCAUCUAUGGCUCGGUCAAGCUUGAGCAUUGGUGUAUUCUGUGCUACUUCAAAGCUAUCGAGCUCUAGCGAGCUAUGCAACCUCGACUCUUUGGUAGCUCCAGCCAAGCUGAACAUUUUUUGACAGUCUUACAUGUAUUUAACACUACACGUUAAGAACAUUAUUUAAUCGAGAUAAGUAAAUAAUGUUGAAUCAGUUUCUCUAACUGACAUCUUGGGUUGAGUUAGUUUGACUUAUCAAUACUGUUGUAUGGAUUAUCAAAACUACAUUAGCAUCCAAAAAACAACAACCUACUGGUAAUAAUCAUAUAAACAAGGGUGGCCAUACUUUCCUAAAGCAGAAGUAAAGGCUCACCUGCGCUUGGCGGGAGGGGAGCGGCCCCGGGUGUGGGCGGGCGAGCACGAGGACGCGGAGCGGGACAAGGACCGUGAGCCCGAGCGGCCGGGCGGGGGGAGGAGCCCGAGGACGGCAAGCCCGAGCGGCUGUGGCGGGGGGAGGAGCCCGAGGACGGCGAGCCCGAGCGGCCGCGGCGAGAGGAGGAGCCCGAAGACGGCGAGCCCGACCAGCCGCGACGGGACGAGGACGAGGACACGGACGCGGAGCGGGAGGAGGAGCCCGAGGACGAGGACGCGGAGCGGCCGUGGCGAGGCUUCGCCAUCGUCGUCCGUCCAUCUCCCCGCGGCGGCGGCGGCGGCGGGCGGGCGUGGGUGCGGGCUAGGGUUUCUCUCCGGGCGUGGAUGGGGGCGUGGUAACUGGCCACCGAACGCAGGCUAGGGUGAAGGAGCCCACCAACAGGGACACUGCUUCCACGGCCAUCGAGCGGUGACCCUAUGCGCUGCGCCUGCGUGCACACGCUGACCUGUGGGACAUGCCCGUGCCUCUGCUUCUCGGGGGCCCGCGUGUCAGCCGGACCGGAGGUGUUCAAGUGUUUGUGUGUGUGUGUGUGAUCUUGCGUUGCUGCCUCUGGUUCUAAGGAGAGGAGCGACAAAUAGUUUUGCCUAACUUUCCAAAUUUGACUUGCUAAACAUGUGAAAUUUCCACAAGAAAACUAUGUUCAAACCAAGCUAGGGAUGCAAAUCAACGGUAUUUUAACGGCCAUGCCAAUGCAAAAAAUGACCAAGCAGGCCUAUAUUUCUGGUGUGAAAUAUGCUCUAACAAGAACGUGAAGCACUAUUAUGAACACUAAUGAUAUAAACCAGUCUUUUAAUCGGUGAAGAGUAGACCACACCAUCACAACUUAUCUCCUCCCAAAUCGGUGACCAUGGCGAAGACUGCAAGGACACGAGCGAUGCAUCUGCACUACCAUGGCGGUGGCCUUCCAGAGGAGAUCAUCGUUUGGGAGAUCCUUGUCCGUCUACCCCCGAAAUCCCUCCUCCGCUGCCGCACCGUCUGCCGCGCUUGGCGACGCGUCACCUCCUCCCGUGACUUCCUCCUUGCCCACCACGCCCACCAGCCCUCACUUCCAAUUGUCAACAGCCAUAAAUACCCCAGGGGGGCAUACGAUCACAUACACACCUUCGAUCACCGGGCCGUCGCGGACGCCCAGAUCUAACCCAUUGCCCAGCUUGAUGAGUCCUUCCGUCUCACGGCCUCUUGCGACGGCCUAGUCAUCCAGGUAACAACCACAACCACAACCACAAUGACAACGACAACGACAACGACGACAACAACAACAACAACAACAAUAACAACAACAACAGCAACAACAACAACAACAACAACAACAACAACAACAACAAMCACAACAACAACAACAACACACACACACACACACACACACACACACACACACACACACACGCACGACACGACACACACGACACNCGACACACACGACACACACACACACACACACACACACACACACACACACACACACACANAACAACAACAACAACCACAACAACAACAACAACAACAACAACAACAACCACCACAACAACAACCACAACCACAACCACGACCACGAAAACAACAACAACAAAAACCACAACAACCACAACAACAACAACCACGACCACGACCAUGACCACGACCACGACAACGACAACGACAACGACAACAACAACAACAACAACAACAACAACAACAACAACACACACACACACACACACACACACACACACACACACACACACACACACACACACACACACACACACACACACACACACACACACACACACACAACAACAACAACAAUAACCACAACAACAACAACAACAACAACCANNNNNNNNNNNNNNNNNNNNNNNNNNNNNNNNNNNNNNNNNNNNNNNNNNNNNNNNNNNNNNNNNNNNNNNNNNNNNNNNNNNNNNNNNNNNNNNNNNNNUUGUUGUUAUCAUUGUGGUUGUCGUUGUCGUUGUCGUUGUCGUGGUUGUGGUUGUGGUUGUGGUGGUGGUCGUGGUCGUGGUCGUGGUCGUGGUUGUGGUUGUGGUUGUUGUUGUUGUUGUGGUUGUUGUUGUUGUGGUGGUGGUGGUGGUUGUGGUUGUUGUUGUUUUUGUUGUUGUCGUUGUCGUGGUCGUGGUUGUGGUUGUGGUUGUUGUUGUGGUGGUGGUUGUUGUUGUUGUUGUUGUUGUUGUUGUUAUUGUUGUUGUUGUUGUGGUUGUGGUUGUUGUGGUUGUUGUUGUUGUUGUUGUUGUUGUGGUUGUUGUUGUCGUUGUCGUUGUCAUUGUCGUUGUCUUGUCGUUGUCGUUGUCGUGAUUGUGGUUGUGGUUGUGGUGGUGGUGGUGGUCGUGGUCGUGGUUGUGGUUGUGGUUGUUGUUAUUGUUGUGGUUGUUGUUGUUGUUGUGAUGGUGGUUGUGGUUGUUGUGGUUGUUGUUGUUGUUGUGGUUGUUGUUGUUGUUGUUGUUGUUGUUGUUGUUGUUGUUGCUGUUGUUGUUGUUAUUGUUGUUGUUGUUGUUGUUGUCGUCGUUGUCGUUGUCGUUGUCAUUGUGGUUGUGGUUGUGGUUUGUUACCUGGAUGACUAGGCCGUCGCAAGAGGCCGUGAGACGGAAGGACUCAUCAAGCUGGGCAAUGGGUUAGAUCUGGGCGUCCGCGACGGCCCGGUGAUCGAAGGUGUGUAUGUGAUCGUAUNNNNNNNNNNNNNNNNNNNNNNNNNNNNNNNNNNNNNNNNNNNNNNNNNNNNNNNNNNNNNNNNNNNNNNNNNNNNNNNNNNNNNNNNNNNNNNNNNNNNGCAUUUGAGACUUACGAAAUAAGACUCUCAAGGAGGGACUUAUAGUUGUAAUAUGGUCUUUUAAUCCAUGUUAAGUCAUAGGAACCAAACAGGUAAGAACUUUUUAGGGACUUAGGACUUAUAAGUUAGGACUAAAAAAAGUCCUAGGACUUAUGAACCAAACAGGGCCUAAGUCACUAAAAAGUUCCUACCUGUUUGGUUCCUAGGACUUAACAUGGACUAAUUACAUCCAUAAGCCCCUAUAAGACUCUCCUUGAGAGUCUUAUUUCAUAAGUCCCAAAUGCCCACUUUAAGUCCUUAUAAGUCCCUUAUGUUUGGUUUAGAUGGAAUUUAGAAAAACUUAUACGUUAUAAGUCCCUAAUAAGUCCCUGUAACCAAACACCCCCUUAAACUCUGAUGGAUAAAAGAUGUCAUUGUCCUUCAAACUAUCCAACUACGAAUAGUUCGCGACAACUUGUCAACUUUUGUUUUUCUGGAGACUGGGCUUCUUAUUCCAAGAUAACCCAAUAGCCCAACUGGACUGGAGCCCAGUCCAAGAGCCUCACGAAUGACGGCCUAUUCCAAGAAACCCGAGCCCGAAGAACCAAAACCCAACAGCUCUACCAAGGAGCCCAUUUGCUUUGCUUUGUUUUAGCCCAGCCCAUCUCCUUCCGGCCUCAGCCGCAGCUCGCCACCUGCAAGACCGCAACUACCGCUCGCCGGCUCGCCGGCAGGCUAGCCAGCACCGCACCANNNNNNNNNNNNNNNNNNNNNNNNNNNNNNNNNNNNNNNNNNNNNNNNNNNNNNNNNNNNNNNNNNNNNNNNNNNNNNNNNNNNNNNNNCGCCGCUCCGUAUCAGGCCCUUCACUGCCAUCUGUCGCACCUCCUCCCUCCUCGCCGGUAUGGCCUGCUCCCACCUUGCCGCCGCCGCCUCCUCACCGGCAGCCGCUGCGUUGCGUUCUGGGGCGACAUCGACAACCGCCGGUUUCGCGCGCCUUCCCGCAACUCACCGUACGAAUCGCUCCAUGCUUUAUGCCUCCAUCUUGAUGCUGGUCUACCGUAUCUUGCUUUGACUGGAUCCCUUCCCCAACCCCCGCAGGUACUGAGAAAGGCUUGUUGGCCCUCAGUGGUAGGAGGGCCGUGAAGCUGGUGGUCGUUGCCACCGGGUCGGCCGUGCCGGCGCCGGCGUCCGUCCCGUCAACGGUGAAGAAGCCCAUCAUCGUUAUCGACAACUACGAUAGCUUUACCUACAACCUGUGUCAGGUAUAUGGUUUCACAGGUAGUGGUUAAAGUCANNNNNNNNNNNNNNNNNNNNNNNNNNNNNNNNNNNNNNNNNNNNNNNNNNNNNNNNNNNNNNNNNNNNNNNNNNNNNNNNNNNNNNNNNNNNNNNNNNNNUCGUCUCAAAUCAGCCCUAAAACCUCAGUAUAUAUAGGUGGGAGGGAGGGGACCUUGCCUUGGGGCUCAAGGAGCCCCAAGGGGGUCGGCCGAGUCCAAGGGGGGGAGGACUCCCCCCCCAAACCGAGUUGGACUUGGUUUGGUGGGAGGGAGUCCCCCUUCCUUCCCACCUCCUCCUUAUUUUUUCUUUUCUCUUGAUUUUUCUCUUCUUGGCGCAUAGAGCCCUUUGGGCUGUCCCACCAGCCCACUAAGGGCUGGUGUGCCACCCUCAAGGCCUAUGGGCUUCCCCGGGNNNNNNNNNNGGUCCAAGUAUCCCCAAGGGUUCGGCCGAGCCAAAGGGCGGAGUCCUCCCCUUCCAAACCGAAUCCAACUAGGUUUGGAAGGAGGAGUCCUUCCCCUUUUUCCCACUUCCCCUUUUUUCUUUCCUUUUCUCUUUAAUUUUCUUAUUAUGGCGCAUAGGGCCUUCUUGGGCUGUCCCACCAGCCCACUAAGGGCUGGUGCGCCACCCCCAAGGCCUAUGGGCUUCCCCGGGGAGGGUUGCCCCCCCGGUGAACACCCGGAACCCAUUCGUCAUUCCCGGUAACUCCGAAAACCUUCCGGUAAUCAAAUGAGGUCAUCCUAUAUAUCAAUCUNNNNNNNNNNUGGGUUGCCCUCCCCCGGUGAACUCCCGGAACCCAUUCGUCAUUCCCGGUACAUUCCCGGUAAUUCCGAAAACCUUCCGGUAAUCAAAUGAGGUCAUCCUAUAUAUCAAUCUNNNNNNNNNNGAUUUUUUUCUUAUGGUGCAUAGGGCCUUCUUGGGCUGUCCCACCAGCCCACUAAGGGCUGGUGCGCUACCCCCAAGGCCUAUGGCCUUCCCCGGGGUGGGUUGCCCCCCCGGUGAACACCCGGAACCCAGUCGUCAUUCCCGGUACAUUCCCGGUAACUCCAAAAACCUUCCGGUAAUCAAAUGAGGUCAUCCUAUAUAUCAAUAUUCGUUUCCGGACCAUUCCGGAAACCCUCGUGACGUCUGUGAUCUCAUCCGGGACUCCGAACAACAUUCGGUAACCAACCAUAUAACNNNNNNNNNNUUUCCGGACCAUUCCGAAAACCCUCGUGACGUCCAUGAUCUCAUCCGGGACUCCGAACAACAUUCGGUAACCAACCAUAUAACUCAAAUACGCAUAAAACAACGUCGAACCUUAAGUGUGCAGACCCUGCGGGUUCGAGAACUAUGUAGACAUGANNNNNNNNNNNNNNNNNNNNNNNNNNNNNNNNNNNNNNNNNNNNNNNNNNNNNNNNNNNNNNNNNNNNNNNNNNNNNNNNNNNNNNNNNNNNNNNNNNNNNNNNNNNNNNNNNNNNNNACGAAGAUCUUAUCGUUUGAACCUUAGUGCCAAGGAUUCAUAUAAUCCCGUAUGUCAUUCCCUUUGUCCUUCGGUAUGUUACUUGCCCGAGAUUCGGUCGUCAGUAUCCGCAUACCUAUUUCAAUCUCGUUUACCGGCAAGUUUCUUUACUCGUUCCGUAAUACAAGAUCCCACAACUUACACUAAGUCACAUUGCUUGCAAGGCUUGUGUGUGAUGUUGUNNNNNNNNNNNNNNNNNNNNNNNNNNNNNNNNNNNNNNNNNNNNNNNNNNNNNNNNNNNNNNNNNNNNNNNNNNNNNNNNNNNNNNNNNNNNNNNNNNNNGUGACACUAUAGAAUACUCAAGCUUAAGCUCUUUCCACUUUUUAUCCCAUUGUCCAUGAGAACAUCACCCAAAACUUGAAAACUUCACAACACAAAACUUAAACAGAAACUCGUGAUAUCAUUAGCAUAAGAAAACAAACCACCAACUCUUUAGGUACUGUAGUAAACUUGAUUUAUAUUUAGAUUGAUGUUAUAUUACUGUAUUGUCACUUUUCCAUGGCUAGUACCCCCCGAUACUAACCAUAGUUUCAUCAAAAUAAACAAUCAACACAACAAAAAACAAAAUAUGUCAAAAACAGACCAGUCUGUAGCACUCUGUAUACUUCGUAUACCUCUGGUAUCCCAAAAAUUAUGAACAAUUAUGACAAUUAGGGCAAUUCGCACAUCAAUCAGCAGCAAAAAGAAUCAACUCAAAAUCUCUUUCUGGAUAGGAAUUAUAAAUAAUUUCGUGAGCGCAAAGUUUCUGUCUUUUUCAGCAUGAUUAAACAACUAUCACCAAAACUAAUCAUAAAGGUUCUACUUGGCACAAACAGUAAAAACAUAAAAAACACAAUCAUAAUAGAAUUAUGAUGGUGUGUACACAACAAAACAGAAAGUGAAAAGCAAAAAUAAAUUUAUUCAUUGGGUUGCUUCCCAAUAAGCGCUUUUCUUUAAAGCCUUUUAGCUAGGCAUUGAUAAUUCAAUGAUGCUCACAUAAAAGAUAGCAAUCGGACACGAAUAGAGCAUCAUGAAACAUGUGACAAACAUAUCUAAGUCUAACAUACUUCCUCUGCAUAGGCAUUUUAUAGGAAAACAAAUUGUCAAUACAACCAAUAGUUACCAUAUGCAAGGAAGAAGAAAGAGACAAUAGCAAUCUCAACAUAACGAGAGGUGAUUUAGUGAUAUGAAAAUUUCUACAAUCAUAUUUUCCUCUCUCAUAAUAAUUACAUGUGGGAUCAUAUUCAAAUUAAACAAUAUAACUAUCACAUAGGAUAUUCUUUUCAUGAUCCACAUGCAUGCAAAGUUGACGCUCUUCAAAAAUAGUGGGAUUAGCAUCAACUAAAGUCAUGACUUCUCCAAACCCACUUUCAAUAUUAUUGCAAAUAUCAUAUUCAUCAUGAGGCUUAAACAAGUUUUCAAGAUCAUAAGAAAAAUCAUCACCCCAAUCAUGAUCAUUGCAACAAGUAGUGGACAUAGCAAAACUAGCAUCCCCAAGCUUAGGGUUUUGCAUAUUUUUAGCAUAACUGACAUUCAUAGAACUUAUAGUGAAACCAUUGCAAUCAUGCUUUUCAUUUAAGGAGCCCUCGUGAAUCACUUCAUAAAUUCCUUCAUCACAAUUUUUAGAUUCACGCAUCUCAAGCAAAACUUCAUAAAGAAAAUCUAGUGCACAAAACUCACGAGCAAUUGGUUCAACAUAAUUGGAUCUCUUAAAGACUUUAGCAAGUGGGUGAGGAUCCAUACCAAUAGAUUUUCAGCAAGCGAAGAUGCAAGCAUAUUGAAGGCACAUAGCUCACAAGCAAAGGAAAGGCAAACGAAAAAGGCAAAUAUUUUUGUAAUUUUUGUUUUUUAGAAGUGGGGGAGAGGAAAAUGAGAGGCAAAAGGCAAAUAAUGUAAAUGCAAGAGAUGAGUUUGCGAUAGUUACUUGGAUAUGCUUCACUUGAAUACUCCCCGGCAACGGCGCCAGAAAUUCUUCUUGCUACUUCUCGAGCUUGCGUUGCUUUUUCCCUUGAAGAGGAAAGGGUGAUGCAACAAAGUACUGAUAAGUAUUUCCCUUAGUUUGAGAACCAAUGUAUCAAUCCAGUAGGAGUAUCAAGAUGAGGCACCAACGUACCUGCGCAAAAACAAACAAACUUGCAACAAACGCUAUGAAGGGGUUGUCAAUCCCUCCACAAUUAUUUAAAAGGUGAGAUCUGAAGGUGAAAAGUGCAACAAAGUAAUUUUGUAGAUCUGAAUAUAUGAUGUGAAGUAGACCCGGGGGCCAUAGUGUUCACUAGAGGCUUCUAUCAUGAUAGCAAGUAUUACGGUGGGUGAACGAAUUACUGUCGAGCAAUUGAUAGAAUCGCGGAAAGUCAUGAUGAUAUCUAAGGCAAUGAUCAUACAUAUAGGCAUCACGUCCGAGACAAGUAGACCGAUACUUUCUACAUCUACUACUAUUACUCCACACAUCGACCGCUAUCCAGCAUGCAUCUAGUGUAUUGAGUUCAUAACAAUCAGAGUAACGCCUUAAGAAAGAUGACAUGAUGUAGAGGGAUAAAUUCAUGCAAUAUGAUAUAAACCCCAUCCUUUUACCCUUGAUGGCAACAACACGAUGCAUGCCUCACUACCCCUUCUGUCACUAGGUGAGGACACCGCACGGUAUUGAUACGUCCAUUUUGCAUCAUGUUUUCAUGUUGAUAUUUAUCGCCUCUUUGGCUGUUAUUUCACUUCAUGGUACAAUACCGGGCCAAAGAAGUGCUAGAGGGGCGCCAGGGGGUGCCCACAAAACUGCACGGCGCGGCCACCCCCCAGGUCGCGCCAUGAGGGCUUGUGGGCUAUAUGAAGGGUUUCGUCCAGGAAAAAAAAAUCAAGGAGGAGAUUUUUCGUGGUUUCGCCGCCGCCACGAGGCGGAACUUGAGCAGAACCAAUCUAGAGCUCCGGCAGGACGAUCCUGCCGGGGAAACUUCCCUCCCGGAGGGGAAAUCAUCGCCAUCGUCAUCACCAACACUCCUCUCGUCGGAGGGGAGGCAUCUUCAUCAACAUCUUCAUCAGCACCAUCUCCUCACCAAUCCCUAGUUCAUCUCUUGUAACCAAUCUUUGUCUCGCGACUCCGAUUGGUACUUGUAAGGUUGCUAGUAGUGUCGAUUACUCUUUGUAGUUGAUGCUAGUUGGAUUACUUGGUGUAAGAGUUUAAGUUCAGAUCCUUGAUGCUAUUCAUUACACCUAUGGUCAUGAUUAUGAUUAUGUCUUGUGAGUAGUUACUUUUGUUCCUGAGGACAUGGGAUAAGUCAUGUUAAUAAUAGUCAUGUGAAUUUGAUAUUCGUUCGGUAUUUUGAUAUGUUGUAUGUUGUCUUUUCCUCUAGUGGUGUUAUGUGAACGUCGACUACAUAACACUUCACCAUAUUUGGGCCUAGAGGAAGGCAUUGGGGAGUAGUAAGUAGAUGAUGGGUUGUUGGAGUGACAGAAGCUUAAACCCCAGUCUAUGCGUUGCUUCGUGAGGGGCUGAUUUGGAUCCACUAGUUUAAUGCUAUGGUUAGACUUUGUCNNNNNNNNNNAUCUUUUGUAGUUGCUGAUGCUUGCGAGAGAGGUUAAUCAUAAGUGGGAUGCUUGUCCAAGUAAGGGCAGUACCCAAGCGCCGGUCCACCCACAUAUCAGACUAUCAAAGUAACGAACGCGAAUCAUAUGAACAUGAUGAAACUAGCAUGACAGAAAUUCCCGUGUGUCCUCGGGAGCGUUUUUCCUCCUAUAAGACUUUGUUCAGGCUUGUCCCUUGCUACAAAAGGGAUUGGGCCACUUGCUGCACCGUUGCUAUUACUUGUUACUUGUUACUCUUUUCUUGCUAUGUUUCACCUCGCUACACAAUCACUUGUUACCGCUACUUUCAGUGCUUGCAGUUAUUACCUUGCUGAAAUCCGUUUAUCAGAGCCUUCUGCUCCUCGUUGGGUUCGACACUCUUACUUAUCGAAAGUACUAUGAUUGAUCCCGUAUACUUGUGGGUCAUCACAUCUCAUCUCCAAACCCUAGUUCAUCACUUGUAACCAAUCUCCGUCUCGCGACUCCGAUUGGUACUUGUAAGGUUGCUGGUAGUGUUGAUUACUCUUUGUAGUUGAUGCUAGUUGGAUUAUUUGGUGGAAGAGUUUAUGUUCAGAUCCUUGAUGCUACUCAUUACCUCUCUGGUCAUGAAUAUUAUUAUGCUUUGUGAGUAGUUACUUUUGUUCCUGAGGACAUGGGAUAAGUCAUGCUAAUAGUAGUCAUGUGAAUUUGGUAUUCGUUCGAUAGUUUGAUAUGUUGUAUGUUGUUUUUCCUCUAGUGGUGUUAUGUGAACGUCCACUACAUAACAAUUCACCAUUAUUUGGGCCUGGAGGAAGGCAUUGGGAAGUAGUAAGUAGAUGAUGGGUUGCUAGAGUGACAGAAGCUUAAACCCUAGUUUAUGCGUUGCUUCGUAAGGGGCUGAUUUGGAUCCACUAGUUUAAUGCUAUGGUUAGACUUUGUCUUAAUUCUUCUUUCGUAGUUGCGGAUGCUUGUGAGAGGGGUUAAUCAUAAGUGGGAUGCUUGUCCACGUAAGGGCAGUACUCAAGCGCCGGUCCACCCACAUAUCAAACUAUCAAAGUAACGAACGCGAAUCAUAUGAACAUCAUUAAACUAGCAUGACAGAAAUUCCCAUGUGUCCUCGGGAGCGUUUUUCCUCCUAUAAGACUUUGUCCAGUCUUGUCCCUUGCUACAAAAGGGAUUGGGCCACUUUGCUGCACCAUUGCUACUUUUUUUACUUGUUGCUUGUUACGAAUCAUCUCACCACACAAUCACUAGUUACCGACAAUUUCAGUGCUUGCAGAUUUUACCUUGCUGAAAACCACUUGUCAGAUCCUUCUGCUCCUCGUUGGGUUUGACACUCUUACUUAUCGAAAGGACUACGACUGAUCCCCUAUACUUGUGGGUCAUCAGUUAUGAACCCAAAACCAAGCACUUCUCCCAUGCAAGAAUUAUAGAUCAAGUUGGCCAAACGAAACCCAUAACUCGAAGAGAAUUACAAGGAUACGAAAUCAUGCAUAUAAGAGAUCAGAGGAGACUCAAAUAAUAUUCAUAGAUAAUCUGAUCAUAAAUCCACAAUUCAUCGGAUCUCGACAAACACACCGCAAAAGAAAGUUACAUCGGAUAGAUCUCCAUGAAGAUCAUGGAGAACUUUGUAUUGAAGAUCCAAGAGAGAGAAGAAGCCAUCUAGAAACUAGCUAUGGACCCGAAGGUCUGUGGUGAACUACUCACGCAUCAUCGGAGAGGCAAUGGUGUUGAUGAAGAAGCCCUCCGUGUCCAAAUCCCCCUCCGGCAGGGCACCAGAACAGUCCCGAGAUGGGAUCUUGCGGAGACAGAAGCUUGCUACGGCGGAAAAGUAUUUUCGUGGCUCUCUCUGGUGGUUUUGGAAUUUUAGAGAAUUUAUAGGCGAAAGAGGUAGGGCAAAGGAGCCACGUGGGGCCCACAAGCCUACGAGCCCCCCCCAGACCGCGGCUAGGGGGCUUGUAAUCUCCCCCGAGGUCUUCUGCCUUGGUUCUCAAGUCCCGUGCGUAUCUUCUGUAAUGGAAAAAAUCAUCCCGCAGGUUUUAUUCCGUUUGACUCCGUUUAAUAUUGUUCUCUGGAAAAGGUCAAAAACACGGAAAAAAGAGAAACUGGCACUUGGCACUGAGUUAAUAGGUUAGUCCCAAAAAGAUAUAAAAUAGCAUAUUCAUGGAUACAAAACAUCCAAAGUUGACAAGAUAAUAGCAUGGAACCAUCAAAAAUUAUAGAUACGUUAGAGACGUAUCAGCCGCCAAGUUAAUCUUGACAUCCAUGGCCCAGGUUAGAUAAUUUGUGCCAUCAAUGGCAAGCUCAGCAAAUUCCUUCUUGGAUAUGUCAGCCAUAUCCUGCAUGAAAAUAUUAUGCGCAUUAAUUUACACUCAUGUAAAUUAAUUGUGUGUAAAAUAAAAUGAUUGAUUAAAUAUAAAGGUCUAGGAAAAGCCUAAACGACCCAAAAUAUGACUGUCUACAAAAGAUAAUCACCAUGAAAUGGCGUAGAUCUUUUUUUUUGUAGAACACAUAGAGGUAAUCACCAUGAAGUGGCGUAGACACUCGUAUGGCGAUUUUCAUGCCAUAAUAUGUGUGCUUUCAUUUUCGCUUUGAGAUAAUCACUACGAAGUAGUGCAGACCUUAAUCUCAUGGUACUUUGUACAACCUUGUGUUAUUUAAAACACUUUGAAGGUAAUCACCGUGUGGUGUAGACCUCACAGUCGUGAACAAAGCAUACAUUGCAUUAGAUGCAAUCCAUAAGAUACGUGCAAAAACUGAAAGUAGUCAUAUAAUUUUCAAGCAUAAUCAACAUGUAGCAAUUAAAAAUUGCAUCCAUACACAUGUUGACAUUGCAAUAAGCAGAUAUUAUAUAGUACUAUGUUAGAAAAUACUAACAAACACAUAUGUACAAAAACUAAAAGCUAGAAUCUAAUCAGAAAAUGAAACGAAAAGAAGAAAAAAUGCCAAUAUGCCAACACAUGCAGCCUGCUACCCGUGGCAAAUACACUUUUGCUUUUCGUUCUUGAUUCUUUUUUUUCUCGUAUAGCAUGGGAGGCAACUAGGCUCAGCAUGCUGCCUGUACGCACGCUACGAGAGCUCUGCAUGCUGCCUGUACGCACACCACGAGGGGCUCUGCAUGUUGCUUGUACGCACGCCACGAGAGACUCUGCAUGCUGCCUUUUUUGCACAGCUGUACGCAUCGGAAAAACGGGAGGAUAAGGGAGGCAGGGACAUGUCGUUCUCGUCCAGAAAUCAUCCCGAUUCAUAUCCAGCGCGAGAAGCAAGCUCUUUCACCAGCACCGCCAACCUCCGCCACCGAUGGCUGCCUCACCAGUGUGGAGAAUAAGGCCUGGCGUGGCAUGCUCUUCCUCCUCUGAAGAAGACCCUCCAGGCAGGUGCGUCCCGGGAGCAACUCCGUUGGACUGGCUAUUGGCCAGCCCAAGAUUCUCCGGGCUCCAUCGUCCCGGCCGACGGCCGGCGUGCUGCAGCACGGCGCGUGGCACUAUGUGCCAGCGGCGGGGCGUCGAAGGACCGGUGGAGGUGCUCGCCCUGUUGUCGAAGACGUCCCCGAGCGUAGCACUCCGAGCGGGGAGGCGCGGCCCAAGGCUGGCGCUUGACGAAGAGGCGCUGGUGUCCACGUUUAUGGCGCGUGCACCAACCGGCGAGGGCCUUUGCUCUGCUCUCGGUAGAGUUACGGGCUGAUAACGUGUUUAGAAUGAUUAAAUCAGACUAUCUCUUUCAUUGAUGACCCGUGAGGAUUAAAUACAACGGAACCGUCACCAACGCCACGAAGGGACGCAUCCCAUCGUGGGGGCGUGCGAGCGCUGUGAACGGUUGCGAGGGGUAAACCGCACGUUAAUUACAAGGGAGGAUUAUUCCUAAAUAAUAGGAUUAAUUAAAUCCUAAGAAAAUUAUUGCAUGACCAUACGGACGGGUCGCACGCGAGACACGUGGACAACGAGCGACCGGCGCAUUGCUUGCGAGGGCGCGUUGAANNNNNNNNNNNNNNNNNNNNNNNNNNNNNNNNNNNNNNNNNNNNNNNNNNNNNNNNNNNNNNNNNNNNNNNNNNNNNNNNNNNNNNNNNNNNNNNNNNNNGUUGGUGAUGACCUUGUCUCAGCAGGGCUCCGCCCGAGCUCCGCAGAAACGCGAUCUAGAGGAAAAACCGUGGAGGUAUGUGGUCGGGCUGCCGUGGAAAAGUCGUCUCAAAUCAGCCCUAAAACCUCAGUAUAUAUAGGUGGGAGGGAGGGGACCUUGCCUUGGGGCUCAAGGAGCCCCAAGGGGGUCGGCCGAGUCCAAGGGNNNNNNNNNNNNNNNNNNNNNNNNNNNNNNNNNNNNNNNNNNNNNNNNNNNNNNNNNNNNNNNNNNNNNNNNNNNNNNNNNNNNNNNNNNNNNNNNNNNNNNNNNNNNNNNNNNNNNUCCCCCUUCCUUCCCACCUCCUCCUUAUUUUUUCUUUUCUCUUGAUUUUUCUCUUCUUGGCGCAUAGAGCCCUUUGGGCUGUCCCACCAGCCCACUAAGGGCUGGUGUGCCACCCUCAAGGCCUAUGGGCUUCCCCGGGUGGGUUGCCCUCCCCCGGUGAACUCCCGGAACCCAUUCGUCAUUCCCGGUACAUUCCCGGUAAUUCCGAAAACCUUCCGGUAAUCAAAUGAGGUCAUCCUAUAUAUCAAUCUNNNNNNNNNNNNNNNNNNNNNNNNNNNNNNNNNNNNNNNNNNNNNNNNNNNNNNNNNNNNNNNNNNNNNNNNNNNNNNNNNNNNNNNNNNNNNNNNNNNNNNNNNNNNNNNNNNNNNNNNNNNNNNNNNNNNNNNNNNNNNNNNNNNNNNNNNNNNGUCGAACCUUAAGUGUGCAGACCCUGCGGGUUCGAGAACUAUGUAGACAUGACCCGAGAGAAUCCUCGGUCAAUAUCCAAUAGCGGGACCUGGAUGCCCAUAUUGGAUCCUACAUAUUCUACGAAGAUCUUAUCGUUUGAACCUCAGUGCCAAGGAUUCAUAUAAUCCUGUAUGUCAUUCCCUUUGUCCUUCGGUAUGUUACUUGCCCGAGAUUCGAUCGUCAUUAUCCGCAUACCUAUUUCAAUCUCGUUUACCGACAAAUCUCUUUACUCGUUCCGUAAUACAAGAUCCCGCAACUUACACUAAGUCACAUUGCUUGCAAGGCUUGUGUGUGAUGUUGUNNNNNNNNNNCGAUCCUACAUAUUCUACGAAGAUCUUAUCGUUUGAACCUUAGUGCCAAGGAUUCAUAUAAUCCCGUAUGUCAUUCCCUUUGUCCUUCGGUAUGUUACUUGCCCGAGAUUCGGUCGUCAGUAUCCGCAUACCUAUUUCAAUCUCGUUUACCGGCAAGUUUCUUUACUCGUUCCGUAAUACAAGAUCCCACAACUUACACUAAGUCACAUUGCUUGCAAGGCUUGUGUGUGAUGUUGUAUUACCGAGUGGGCCCCGAGAUACCUCUCCGUCACACGGAGUGACAAAUCCCAGUCUCGAUCCAUACUAACUCAACUAACACCUUCGGAGAUACCCGUAGAGCAUCUUUAUAGUCACCCAGUUACGUUGCGAUGUUUGAUACACACAAAGCUUUCCUCCGGUGUCAGUGAGUUAUAUGAUCUCAUGGUCAUAGGAAUAAANNNNNNNNNNNNNNNNNNNNNNNNNNNNNNNNNNNNNNNNNNNNNNNNNNNNNNNNNNNNNNNNNNNNNNNNNNNNNNNNNNNNNNNNNNNNNNNNNNNNGUUGUUUUAUGCGUAUUUGAGUUAUAUGGUUGGUUACCGAAUGUUGUUUGGAGUCCCGGAUGAGAUCACGGACGUCACGAGGGUUUCCGGAAUGGUCCGGAAACGAAGAUUGAUAUAUAGGAUGACCUCAUUUGAUUACCGGAAGGUUUUCGGAGUUACCGGGAAUGACGAAUGGGUUCCGGGUGUUCACCGGGGGGGCAACCCUCCCCGGGGAAGCCCAUAGGCCUUGGGGGUGGCGCACCAGCCCUUAGUGGGCUGGUGGGACAGCCCAAGAAGGCCCUAUNNNNNNNNNNCGGAGUCCCGGAUGAGAUCACAGACGUCACGAGGGUUUCCGGAAUGGUCCGGAAACGAAUAUUGAUAUAUAGGAUGACCUCAUUUGAUUACCGGAAGGUUUUUGGAGUUACCGGGAAUGUACCGGGAAUGACGACUGGGUUCCGGGUGUUCACCGGGGGGGCAACCCACCCCGGGGAAGGCCAUAGGCCUUGGGGGUAGCGCACCAGCCCUUAGUGGGCUGGUGGGACAGCCCAAGAAGGCCCUAUGCGCCAUAAUAAGAAAAUUAAAGAGAAAAGGAAAGAAAAAAGGGGAAGUGGGAAAAAGGGGAAGGACUCCUCCUUCCAAACCUAGUUGGAUUCGGUUUGGAAGGGGAGGACUCCGCCCUUUGGCUCGGCCGAACCCUUGGGGAUACUUGGACCCCAAGGCAAGGCUCCCCCUCUUCCCCCUAUAUAUACGGAGGUUUUAGGGCUGAUUUGAGACAACUUUUGCCACGGCAGCCCGACCACAUAUCUCCACGGUUUUACCUCUAGAUCGCGUUUCUGCGGAGCUCGGGCGGAGCCCUGCAGAGAUUAGAUCACCACCAACCUCCGGAGCACCGUCACGCUGCCGGAGAACUCAUCUACCUCUCCGUNNNNNNNNNNNNNNNNNNNNNNNNNNNNNNNNNNNNNNNNNNNNNNNNNNNNNNNNNNNNNNNNNNNNNNNNNNNNNNNNNNNNNNNNNNNNNNNNNNNNCACCACCACCACAACAACAACAACCACAACAACAACAACAACCACAACCACAACCACGACCACGACCACGACCACGACCACCACCACAACCACAACCACAACCACGACAACGACAACGACAACGACAACCACAAUGAUAACAACAACAACAACCACAACAACAACAACAACAACAACAACAACAACCACCACAACAACAACCACAACCACAACCACGACCACGAAAACAACAACAACAAAAACCACAACAACCACAACAACAACAACCACGACCACGACCAUGACCACGACCACGACAACGACAACGACAACGNNNNNNNNNNCAAUAACCACAACAACAACAACAACAACAACCACCACGACCACGACCACGACCACGACCAUGACCACGACCACGACAACGACAACGACAACGACAACAACAACAACAACAACAACAACAACAACAACAACCACCACCACCACCACCACCACCACAACAACAACAACAACAACAACAACCACAACAACCACAACCACANNNNNNNNNNNNNNNNNNNNNNNNNNNNNNNNNNNNNNNNNNNNNNNNNNNNNNNNNNNNNNNNNNNNNNNNNNNNNNNNNNNNNNNNNNNNNNNNNNNNNNNNNNNNNNACAGCCCAAGAAGGCCCUAUGCGCCAUAAUAAGAAAAUUAAAGAGAAAAGGAAAGAAAAAAGGGGAAGUGGGAAAAAGGGGAAGGACUCCUCCUUCCAAACCUAGUUGGAUUCGGUUUGGAAGGGGAGGACUCCCCCCUUUGGCUCGGCCGACCCCUUGGGGAUCCUUGGACCCCAAGGCAAGGCUCCCCCUCUUCCCCCUAUAUAUACGGAGGUUUUAGGGCUGAUUUGAGACAACUUUUGCCACGGCAGCCCGACCACAUAUCUCCACGGUUUUACCUCUAGAUCGCGUUUCUGCGGAGCUCGGGCGGAGCCCUGCAGAGAUUAGAUCACCACCAACCUCCGGAGCACCGUCACGCUGCCGGAGAACUCAUCUACCUCUCCGUCUCUCUUGCUGGAUCAAGAAGGCCGAGAUCAUCGUCGAGCUGUACGUGUGCUGAACGCGGAGGUGCCGUCCGUUCGGCACUAGAUCGUGGGACUGAUCGCGGGACGGUUCGCGGGGCGGAUCGAGGGACGUGAGAACGUUCCACUACAUCAACCGCGUUUCUUAACGCUUCUGCUGUGCGGUCUACAAGGGUACAUAGAUCGG
rnacentral:lncRNA from 1 species